rnacentral:rRNA from 1 species
GAUAAACGCUGGCGGCGUGCAUGAGACAUGCAAGUCGAACGGACGAUCGGGGCUUGCUCUGAUCGUUAGUGGCGGACGGCUGAGUAACGCGUAGGUGACCUGCCCCGAAGUGGGGAAUAACUGCCCGAAAGGGUGGCUAAUACCGCAUGUGGUGGUGCCUUCAUGGGCACCAGUAAAGCCGCAAGGCGCUUCGGGAGGGGCCUGCGUCCGAUUAGCUCGUUGGUGGGGUAACGGCUCACCAAGGCGACGAUCGGUAGGUGGUCUGAGAGGACGAUCACCCAGACUGGGACUGAGACACGGCCCAGACUCCUACGGGAGGCAGCAGUCGGGAAUUUUGCGCAAUGGACGAAAGUCUGACGCAGCAACGCCGCGUGAGGGAUGACGGCCU